rnacentral:lncRNA from 10 species
GAACCCAAGAUUAGUUGACAGUGUUGAUUGUGAGUUGCUUUCUUGAGACUCGGAGACUUAUGAUCAUUCAGUGAAAAUAUCAAUGUGGGUAAUGUGCUGGACACCCUGCAGCAGUACAUCGAAGGCAGCAUGGAAGAAUAGGCAGUAUUGGAUUUGAAAUCAGGAGACUUGGAAUUGAAUUCUGCCUCUUCCACUACCAGCUGUGAAAUUGGCUAAAACAGAAGACCAUAGAAUUAACACGAGCAUGUCAGAAGCAAUAUGAGCUGGAACAGGAAUUGGCCUUUUAUAAAAUUGAUGCUAAAUUUGAGCCACUAAAUUAUUAUCCAUCAGAGUAUGCUGAAAUUGAUAAAGCCCCAGAUGAAAGCCCUUACAUUGGCAAAUCCAGAUACAAGAGAAAUAUGUUUGCCACAGAGAGUUAUAUUAUUGACAGUGCUCAGGCAGUACAGAUCAAGAAGAUGGAGCCAGAUGAACAACUUAGAAAUGAUCACAUGAACUUGAGAGGCCACACACCACUGGACACGC